CACGUAGGGUGCGAGCGUUGUCCGGAAUUAUUGGGCGUAAAGAGCGUGUAGGCGGCCAGGUAGGUCUGCUGUGAAAACUCGAGGCUCAACCUCGAGACGCCGAUGGAAACCAUCAGACUAGAGUCCGGAAGAGGAGAGUGGAAUUCCUGGUGUAGCGGUGAAAUGCGCAGAUAUCAGGAAGAACACCCGUGGCUAAGGCGGCUCUCUAGUACGGUACUGACGCUGAGACGCGAAAGCGUGGGGAGCGAACAGG
rnacentral:rRNA from 1 species